GGAGGUUGAAUCUGGAGCGUCUGUGUCAUCUGCCUGGGAAUCUACCUGCAUGUGGGAGCCACUUCUGCUGCCCUGCUCUCUAUCUACCCUGCAUGGGACAGGCCCUGCUUUCCAGAGACUGUGCGGGGCAGAACUGCCUUGUUAUACCCUCCCUCAGGAAGAGCCUGGCAGCCUCACGGGGCUGUCUGAGAAGGUGGCCGUGCUGUUUGGUGCGGGAAGGCCGGGCGCAGUUCAAGGAAGAAGAAGGAGGUGGAAAGAAGAGGAAAGGAACAGAGGCAAAGAAAAGUGCCUGAGGUCAGCGGGAAGUGUGAGCAGAAAGGAGGAUACAGGGUGACAGACAUGACCCUUCAAUGUUCUAUCCGCUUCUCUUCUCUGAAAGAACCACCAACUAAAAUUUUGACUUGGAUGACAACUUUUCUAAAAAUUCUCCAUUGAUCCCUUGAGUCAAGAAAAUGCGUAGUUUAUCAUCUGCAUCAUCAACAAUGGCUGAGUUCAUCCAGGUUGCCUCAUCUGUUUCCUUCCAUCAGACCAGGACAAGAUUUUAAUUUUUCAUGAAGAGCAAAACUAUAGCUUUCUCCAUGGCCAGAUAACUGGGGUAAUUUGCUCACACACAUGAAUGCAGUUUCAGCUGGGGUCUCCUGAGCUGCCUCCCUUGCAGAAUGGAAAGGAGGCUGCCUUGUCCGGUAGGGGUGGGGUGGGGCAGGGCUCCUGCACUGACCCCACAAAGUGUGGAGGGAAGCCACACCCCAUCCCCAAGACAGUCCAUGGCUGUGUCCCCAAAGUAUGCAGAUAAAAAUGAUUUCUUCUCUGUCAAAUCUUUGAAUGUUUUCCAUGUAAUGUGUAAUUCUUUGGAUAAUUCUUUAAGUAGAAAUUUCAUCUAUUUCUAUUCUACUUAAAGAAUUAAAAUCUAGAAAAAAAUCUAGAAAAGUAAAAUUAAAACGCUGAAAAAAUGGUCAACUCCUUGUUCCACGUUCUCACAUUACCUUGUUUCCUUCAUAGUACCUAUCACCACUUCACACCCUUGUAAGUUUCUUUACCUGCUAAGGGGCUCCCUCCUCUAGUGUGAGAGCCCCAGGGAGGCAGGGACCUUCUGCGUCUUGCUCACUGCAGGGGCUCUCAGGGCUUAGCCCAGUGCCAGGCACACAGAGCAGUGAAAUAACUGCGUGCGUGGAUCAGGGAAUGAACCAGGAGUCACCAGCCUGAGUCUAGCCUGACUCCGCUGAGGAUGUAACUGUAACAAGACUGCAAGACUUCUCUGAAACCCAGGUGCUUUUUCCCUCAAAAGAGGAUGAUAACCAAAGAGUGGAAACAGCCUAGACUGUUCUCACUGGUAGAUGGAUGAGCAAAAUGUGGCACACAGGAUGGCAUAUGAUCCAGCAAUUAAAAGGAAUCACGUACGGAUACCCACAACAUCACAGAAGCACUUCAAGAAUAUUAGCCUCGGUGAAAGAGGCCAGACCCACAAGGCCACCUUGCGCACACAUUCAUUCAUGUGACAUGUCCGGAAGAGUCAGAUCUACAGAGACAGAAAGUGCGCGUGUGGUUGUCUAGGCUAGAGUGGGAAUGGGGAGCGCUUGUAAGAGGCCUGCCUUCUCUUUCAGGGAAGACGGCAGCCUUCUAAAAUUAGACUGUAGUGACAGUUGUGCAGUUCAGUAAAAAGACUGAAAACCAUUGAGCUGUACACUAAAAAUGGAUGGAUUUUACACUAUGUAAAUAGUAUCUCAAUAAAGUUGUUUAA